rnacentral:rRNA from 1 species
AUUGAACGCUGGCGGCAUGCCUUACACAUGCAAGUCGAACGGCAGCACGGAGCUUGCUCUGGUGGCGAGUGGCGAACGGGUGAGUAAUAUAUCGGAACGUACCCUGGAGUGGGGGAUAACGUAGCGAAAGUUACGCUAAUACCGCAUACGAUCUACGGAUGAAAGUGGGGGAUCGCAAGACCUCAUGCUCGUGGAGCGGCCGAUAUCUGAUUAGCUAGUUGGUAGGGUAAAAGCCUACCAAGGCAUCGAUCAGUAGCUGGUCUGAGAGGACGACCAGCCACACUGGAACUGAGACACGGUCCAGACUCCUACGGGAGGCAGCAGUGGGGAAUUUUGGACAAUGGGCGAAAGCCUGAUCCAGCAAUGCCGCGUGAGUGAAGAAGGCCUUCGGGUUGUAAAGCUCUUUUGUCAGGGAAGAAACGGUGAGAGCUAAUAUCUCUUGCUAAUGACGGUACCUGAAGAAUAAGCACCGGCUAACUACGUG